ACAAAAAGCAAAAGUUGUCUCCUCUCCUUUAGGAAAUUUGCCUUUGUUGGUUAACACCUUUGAGGAGGAAGAAGCUAAGGAAGGGAGAGUUGGAUAUACCCAUUUUGCCAGUGCAACUGCUGCUACCAUUCCUUGUUUCUUGUUAGAUUGUGCCAAUGGGCCUCUACACUGCCCAUCCACCUCAUCUUUAAAACACAUAUGCGGUCAGAGAAUAUGAACUGUGCUCAGUAUGGGCCAUGUUCCAGCAGAUCAAUAUCAAAGACCAUUACAGUGCCUGAAAAGAAAAUCUCCCUACUAAGUAUGACCACCUCUAAAAAAGGACCGCUGACCUCCAAGUCUGAGUAAAUAGAUCAUUUAUGUGAGCAUAUAAAUUAAUGCUGAAGUCAGGCUUGUCGCAAACUCUUCUGUGAGCAUAGAGCUGUUUUUAAUUGAGG
rnacentral:lncRNA from 1 species